GGAGAAAGCAGGCUCCCUGCCGAGAAGAAAGCCUGAUGGGGGGCUCAAUCCCAGGACCCUGAGAUAGUGACCUGAGCGAAGGCAGAGGCUUAACCCACUGAGCCCCAACUUUAUGCUUUUAAUCGGUUUCAGUUUCAAUCAUCAGGACAACUAGAGUAAGACCAUUUCAUAUCUGACAGUCAGAAACCACUCAGUAUUUUCUAGAAUAGCUUAAAGAAAAAGGAUGACACCAAAACUCAGUGAAAAUGUCAAAAUUAGAAUUCGCAUAUGUCACUGAUGGGAGCGUGAAAAGUACAUUCACUUUGAAAACUGGCAGUUAACAAAAACAAAUAUUUACCAACGGAAGGGGAGCAUUUCCCAGUCCAAAAUAUGUCUCUUUGCCCUAAGAAUUCUUUUAGGCUGUUACUUUAAAGAAGGAAGAAAGGAAAAGCCCUGAAACUGGAUAUGUUUACUUUUGUAAAAGAUAUUUGCCUUAAUAAGGGAAAGCUCAUUUGUAAGGGUGUCUUCCUCUGUGUAGCAGGAAGGAGAAUGUGUCAUUCUCCAGAAACUCGGAUCGGUGGAGAAGGCACCGCUCUAAAUCAGGCUCCUGAGAAAGAAAUCUGGAGGACUUGGUGGCAGAAGAAAUGGCUGAGUUUCAGGUAAGCCUUGCCUCUAAGGUCGGAGGCUGUGUCAUCUUUUUCUCCUAAAAUUCUUUGUAUUUGGAAAUUGCAAAUGUUGAUUCCUUUAUUUCUGCUUUAUGUCUUCAGGUAUUUUUAAAUCUUUUCAGAAAUAAUACUCACGGUUAGGUCUUUAGAACACUUCUCCCCUCUACCCCAGAGCAUUCACUGCCUUCUGUCCAAGCUGGCUUGCAAUAGGCCGUCAGCAGUUGUCACUUUUUGUUCGUUUUUCUUUUCUGGAUUUAAAUAAUUUAUUCAGCAUACCUCUUAGAAAACAUAUGCUGAUUUUUAAAAAGAAUUUAUUUAUUUAUUUGACAGAGAGAUCACAAGCAGGCAGAGAGCGAGAGAGAGAGAGAGAGAGAGGGGAGGAAGCAGGCUCCCUGCCGAGCAGAGAGGCCAACGUGGGACUCGAUCCUAGGACCAUGCGAUCAUGACCUGAGCCAAAGGCAGAGGCUUAACCCACUGAGCCACCCAGGCGCCCUGAUUUUUUUUUUUUAAAGAUUUUAUUUAUAUGACAGAGUACAAGCAAGGGAGCGGCAGGCAGAGGGAAAGGCAGGCUCCCCCCAGAGAAGGGGGAGCCUGAUGUGGGGCUCAAUCCCAGGACCCUAGGACCAUGAUCUGAGCUGAAGGUAGUUGCUUAACCAACUGACCCACCCAGGCACCCUGAUUUUUUUUUUAAGAUUUUAUUUUAUUUUAUUUUGUGUGUGCAAUGCUAACUUUAUUUUUUUAAUUAAAUUUAUUUAUUUUCAGGAAAACAGUAUUCAUUAUUUUUUCAUCACACCCAGUGCUCCAUGCAAUCCGUGCCCUCUACAAUACCCACCACCUGGUACCCCAACC
rnacentral:lncRNA from 1 species